rnacentral:rRNA from 1 species
CCCUUAGAUGUCCGGGGCCGCACGCGCGCUACACUGAAGGAAUCAGCGUGGCUUUCUCCCUGACCCGAAAGGGUUGGGAAACCCGUUGAAUCUCCUUCGUGAUAGGGAUUGGGGCUUGAAAUUGUUCCCCAUGAACGAGGAAUUCCCAGUAAGCGCGAGUCAUAAGCUCGCGUUGAUUACGUCCCUGCCCUUUGUACACACCGCCCGUCGCUACUACCGAUUGAACGGUUUAGUGAGGGCCUCGGAUUGGUCUCGGCCCGCUCUUUACCGGGCGGCGCCGUUGGGCGAGAAGACGCUCGAACUUGAUCGUUUAGAGGAAGUAAAAGUCGUAACA